AUGCAUGAGUAAUGCGAGCUUCCUGGAUGUAAAGGUGUCCUGAGCUGCGAAGAAGGAUCUGACAUAAUGAUACCGACUACUCUGAAGUUAUCAAAGCUUCGGAGUAGAGUGAUCUUGAUGCAUUCAUUUAACAAAGUUGUCAGGCUUCAUGAUGAAAAAAUUGCUCUUGCUGGCCAGUUUUCCUCGAGGAAAUUCCACAUCUACCGAGAUGACUCUGUCAAGUUGUAGGGGCUUGCUGAGGGUGCACUAGUGGAGUAUAGUGAGGCUGUCGGGGACCUUGACUACCGCCAAUUUGUUCAUAUGGUUACUAAGGAGGUGUUUCUUGGGCAGAUACUACCAGUUGAUCUGACCGAGUGGCUAAAGAUCAUCUCCCAGGGAGUGAACGCGUGUGAUGGCAGCCUGCUCUGCAGUCAUAUUGACCUGAUGGAGCCUUAUCAAGGAUAUGGAAACUUUGUCUCCCUGUUUCAGUUAUUCUGGAAAGUCAAGGAUACCACUGGUGGAGAAGAUCUUCUGAACUUCUUGGGACAUUACAGGGGAUGGAAAGCUCGAGGCCUGUCAUGUUCGUUUCUUCGUGAUACACUGAACUACGAGGACGAUGAAUAUGAAGACGACAUCAGAGGCCUUCUGAGGUUGUUGAUGAACUCGUUUCGGCACUCAGCAAAAAGCCACUGCAGGCUCGCCAUCUACCCGAUCAUGAAUGAGUUCCGCAGGUUGCUGUCAGAUCUUCAAAGGGCAUUGCACCAGGGUGGCUACCUCAUCACCUCUCUGUGA
rnacentral:rRNA from 1 species